ensembl:snRNA U6 U6 spliceosomal RNA
GUGCUCAUUUCAGCAGCACAUAUACUAAAACUGGAACGAUACAGAGAAGACUAACAUGGCCUCUGCUAAUGGAUGACAUGCAAAUUCAUGAAGCAUUCCAUAUUUUA